rnacentral:rRNA from 1 species
CAGUCGCCGCGGGAAUACGGAGGGUGCAAGCGUUAUCCGGAUUUAUUGGGUUUAAAGGGUCCGUAGGCGGAUCUGUAAGUCAGUGGUGAAAUCUCACAGCUUAACUGUGAAACUGCCAUUGAUACUGCAGGUCUUGAGUAAAUUUGAAGUGGCUGGAAUAAGUAGUGUAGCGGUGAAAUGCAUAGAUAUUACUUAGAACACCAAUUGAGAAGGCAGGUCACUAAGAUUUAACUGACGCUGAUGGACGAAAGCGUGGGGAGCGAACAGGAUUAGAUACCCCCGUAGUCCCUGUAUCUUAUAA